CCGUCAAAGUUUAUUUUUGUUUCCUGUCCAACAACCACAAUCUAGAUGUUUCGGAUGAAGAACAGGAAGCGUCAAGUAUGCUGUAAAAAGACGCCCCACACUUGGAAAAGGAAUGCAAAAGGGAGCAAUGAUGGAGCCUGUCAACACAAACGGGGAGUUCAAAUGUGUUUCCAUGUAAAUUUCCAACCAUGCUGGUAGUUUUGAGCUCAGAUAAUUUCUUUUCUUCCAGACUUAACCUGCUUUUCGGUGAAACACUGCUAAAUGAAUCUGGCCUAACACAUCUUCCUUGUUGUACCUGGAUGACCCAACUUUCUCUGGCCGAUAGUGGAUUUCUGUCGGUAUUUAUAAUUCAUGGAGCACUCAUUUCUAGGUGCCUUAAGAGCAUCACAGAAAACCAUCUUAGUCCUUUAGGCCUUUUGGAAUGGCUUGAAUGUACAGACUCCAAUGUUUUUAUAAAAUUAAUAAGAGGAUUUGUAACCACCAUCAGCAGCAACUGCUACAUCUUUGUUCUUCUACAGGGAAUUAUCUCGCACAUGUCAAGCAAAGUUGAGCCAGCUGGAAAUACUGUCAUGGCAACAAUAACUCAAAGCUCAUGAAACAGGAUACCAGCAUCAACUGCACAAUAGAGCCAUCAAUACAAAGUCUCUGAUGUUGUCAAGUCCCUACUGUUCAAGGUCUCCAAUUCUGUGAAAUGUGACAUCACCUGGGAAAAUAGUCUUUCAGAGAUUCCUAUGAAUUUAUCACCUAACCUAGAAAAGAAAAUGGUAUAUCAACGAGUUGUGAAAGAAAUUUCAAAACUAUGAGAAAUGACAUAGUGAUAAUCAAGUUAUUCCGUACUUGGAACUGGGCCAAUUGCAGGGCUGGCAUUUUUAAAGAGUUCUCAGUAAUGAGAGUUAAACCUCUGAUGCUGAUGUCCUAGAAGGAUGUGCCCUGGGCUGAUUCUCCUGGCUCCCCACGCCCCAGACUCACUUUCCCAGGCUCAUAGCUCUGGGUGCAUCUUGAUGAAUAAUUGACACCAUCCACAAAAGAUGACACACAGGGAAACACAUUUGCUUCACUCAACAGCCUCUUUCAGGGUAGCAACCCUUAGUCACUUUCUUUCCUUGGCGUUAAGACUCACUUCAAAUGCUGCCCCACUGAAGCCUGUUCUGUAUCCUUAGGAUCCCUCAGCAGUGUUUUCAUAGUACUUGCUUUACAGCAUCUCAACUGCACUCAAGGUAUGUCAUUAUCUCUGCUUACAACCUCUUCAUUUUAAACAAUGA